AAAUUCAAUACUGUCUUCGUCAACAGGAUGUUGGCGGGAACAGGAACAAAGCCUAAAGGAUUGGGUAUCUUCAGGAUGAAGAUUUGAUAACUUAGGAUGAGUUGUCAGCAAGGACGUUACACUCUGGGAUAGAGUUACGCCAGUCAGGAUGACAGGCCAGGAAGGACACCGCUAGGAAGGCGAUGGACAAAGGAUUAGGUUAAAGGAUUUAGCCAAUAUCAUGGAUAGAUGCAGGGAGCACUAUCAGUAGCUGGAUUGCUGCGAAAGAGAAUAAGCCCCGCUUGGGAAACCAGGCGGGGUUUUAUUUUUUC
rnacentral:other from 1 species